CCUACGGGAGGCAGCAGUGAGGAAUAUUGGUCAAUGGGCGGAAGCCUGAACCAGCCAAGUAGCGUGAAGGAUGACUGCCCUACGGGUUGUAAACUUCUUUUAUAAAGGAAUAAAGUGAGUCACGUGUGCCUUUUUGCAUGUACUGUAUGAAUAAGGAUCGGCUAACUCCGUGCCAGCAGCCGCGGUAAUACGGAGGGUCCGGGCGUUAUCCGGAUUUAUUGGGUUUAAAGGGAGCGUAGGUGGGUUGUUAAGUCAGUUGUGAAAGGUUGGGGCUCAACCGUAACAUUGCAGUUGAAACUGGCAGCCUUGAGUACAGUUGAGGCAGGCGGAAUUCGUGGUGUAGCGGUGAAAUGCUUAGAUAUGACGAAGAACCCCGAUUGCGAAGGCAGCUUACUGCAGUGGAACUGACAUUGAUGCUCGAAAGUGUGGGUAUCGAACAGGAUUAGAUACCCGGGUAGUC
rnacentral:rRNA from 1 species